AUGAGGGCCUCCACUCAGCUUCCUGGGUUGCUGCUGUUCCUGAUUACAGGUGCCAGAUGUGACAUCCAGAUGACCCAGUCUCCAGCCUCCCUGUCGGCAUCUCUGGGAGAAAGUGUCACCAUCACAUGCCAGGCAACUCAGGACCUUUAUGGGAAUUUAGCAUGGUAUCAGCAGAAACCAAGCAGACCUCAUAAGUUCCUGAUCUAUAAAGCAAACACCUUAGUAGAUGGGGUCUCAUCGAGAUUUAGCGGCAGUGGAUCUGGUACACAAUAUUCUCUCAAGAUCAGCAGUCUGCAGUCUGAAGAUGCUGCAACUUAUUACUGUCAAAAUCAUUAUACUACCCCUCUCACGGUGAUUCAAGCCAUGACAUAA